AUUGAACGCUGGCGGCAGGCCUAACACAUGCAAGUCGAGCGGUAGAGAGAAGCUUGCUUCUCUUGAGAGCGGCGGACGGGUGAGUAAUGCCUAGGAAUCUGCCCGGUAGUGGGGGAUAACGUUCGGAAACGGACGCUAAUACCGCAUACGUCCUACGGGAGAAAGCAGGGGACCUUCGGGCCUUGCGCUAUCAGAUGAGCCUAGGUCGGAUUAGCUAGUUGGUGAGGUAAUGGCUCACCAAGGCGACGAUCCGUAACUGGUCUGAGAGGAUGAUCAGUCACACUGGAACUGAGACACGGUCCAGACUCCUACGGGAGGCAGCAGUGGGGAAUAUUGGAUUAUGGGCGAAAGCCUGAUCCAGCCAUGCCGCGUGUGUGAAGAAGGUCUUCGGAUUGUAAAGCACUUUAAGUUGGGAGGAAGGGUUGUAGAUUAUUACUCUGCAAUUUUGACGUGGCCCGGAGAAUAAGAACCGGCUAACUCAUGUGCCAGCAGCCGCAAUUAUAUAAGAGGGGGCGUGCUUA
rnacentral:rRNA from 1 species